rnacentral:misc_RNA from 1 species
GAGGCAAAACACUCUUCACACCAAUAUUUAUCAAAUUCUAAUAAAAUAUAACUCUUAGAAGUUGAGAUCAAACAUCUUCACCCCCAUAUAGUGGCCAAAUCCUUCAAAAGUAUACUCCAUAACACAUCAUUAACUUUCUUAAUAUAAUUCAGAUAUUCCCCACUCAAAAACCUCAAUAAACCAAUAGAAAAUCAAAUUUCCUUUUGAGAA